rnacentral:lncRNA from 1 species
AAAGAUUUGUUCUUUGGGUGAAUCCCAUGUGAUGACAUAGAAUUCUUCAACUUGGGCUUUUCUCAGCAGUCCACCAGUGCUUCCUCCGAAGAUGGGUGAUGGGGUGUUUGGGUCCAAUUCUGGAGGGGUGAAACCCACCGGAGCUUCCUUUGUGGCAGCGGCAGCAGCAGCUUCAUCUGCAGCUGCAGCCCUAACGCUAGUUCUCUGAGCCAUGGAGAAGUUGAUGGACUUGGGGGUAGCUAAUGAAAAUGGUGAAGAUGGGUUCCAUGGAGCCAGAGACUUUGAAGUGGUG